rnacentral:antisense_RNA from 1 species
CAGGCUCUGGCGGGGAUAGAACCCUGAAGGGCCUGCGCCAGCUCCAACUUAGGGCCCUGUGCGUCGUUGCGACUGCCGCUACCACCCCAUCACGCGGCACCCCCGCCCCAACUCCGCCCGGGUCUCUGAAGAGGCAAUAGGCCUUUCAUCUCCGGGGAAAGUCUCACCUUGGCCCUCAGACACCCGCCAAGAGGGGUCGGAAGGACAGAAUUAGCAUACAGAAGAGGGGCUAGAGCACUUUGCAGGCUCUGGCCCCAGGAAUCCUUGACAGGAAGCGUGGGGUUGCUGCCCAGCCUCCCACGCAGUGUAAUAUAUUGAAGCCGGGCCCCUUUGAGGGAAUGCGACUUCCUUGGGCCGAGGGGGAAAGGGCAGUGCCUGAUGGCUGAGAAGAAUCGCAGAGGACUAGAAAAGGUUUGAGUCUGAAAUUAUCUGGCACAGAGGAUUAGAGCUCAGAAAUAAGUGAUUGCGAAACAGUUCAACUUCCCUGUUAAUGACAACAACAACAACAGCAACACGCUUAUUAAUUCCUAGCUGGAGCAUCAAGCUUAUGAAGAUUUCCAAGUAAGACUUUAUUGUUGACCCUUGUUGAAGAGAACUCUACUUGGCUUCUUUCCUGGCUUUCCUAAAUUGUUCACAUACAAGAUAAACUACCGUCAUUCAGACUUACAGAAGUGAGAAGACAAGCUGAACCAAAUGUAAAAUGGUAGCAAUUUACAGAUGUCAGAACUAACAUGUGGAUGAACUUAGAGAUGGAGAAGAAAGCUGGGCUUUUCCAAAGAGUGGAUCUAUCUGAACUGGAUAGCACUAUUGAACUUUGUUGCAUAUUUUGUGGUAGCUCUAAAACUCCUCUGCUUGCUUACAUACAACCAGACACCAGUGCCUUCUGAAGCUAAUCCAGGCCAUUUUUAUAACCUAAUGCAGUAGCACUUUGCAAUUAGAUGAAGAAGAUCGGUGGGAUUUCUUUCUGUGGUGAUUAAAAUGUGUCAGGGGAAGAAAUCAAGACAAUACUCCAAGUGAAAAAUAUAAAGUCAGUUAUUUCUUUAAUAUUUUG